rnacentral:lncRNA from 1 species
CGACAUUACCCCAAUUUCAACAUCAACAACAGAACAACGACGCAACAACUUCAACCAAAAACCCGCGACAAUAACGUCAACUCCAAAACACCAACGACAACAACGGCAGAAACAGCUCGGCAACCUCAUCUCAAUUUUUAAAAUUCAAAUCUCAAUUCUUUUUUCCUUUUUUACCCCUCUGUUUCCCCUAAAACAACCACAAAUUCUUCAAUAAAUUAGGAGUUCUGGAGACGCGUGUCUCUAACCUCACGUAAUCAAAAAUUCGUUGGAGUCAUUCGAAACUCCGGCAAAAAAAAUAAUUUGAAUUCUGAAUUGGAAGUCGUCUUUAUCGUCUCGUCGUUCUGUUCUCUGCCCGGAAAAAGGUAAACAUAUUUUUCACUUUUAAAUUUCCUCGUUGUUUCUUCUUCGUCUUUGCGCAAAUAGCGUAGUAAUGUGGGAUUGUCUGCUGUACAAGGCUUGGAAAGCCAUAGGAUUAUUGUGAUUGUUAUAUGAUGAAUCAAUGUCCACGCCGUAGUGACUGGCUUACUAGCUUCUUGUUCCUCGCUUUAGUUCUCUGCUUAUCCAUGAUACCACUAUGAUGAUUGCUUGUCAAUUCUUAGCUCGUUGUUUUCUUUUAACUCGAACUGUUGUUUGUUGUGGUUGAAUCCAUUGUUUUUUUUUCUUUGGGGUUUCGACAGUUUCUUUUGUUUUCUUAGGAUAGUUCAUUAUUUUUAGCAUAAUGUCGUCUUGUUCAACUUCUAGGUUACAGUUUUGUGAUAAUGGUAAUAUUGCUUUGUGAUUUUCUUUAGUUUGAACAUGGCUUAUUAUGAUUUUAAUCCAUCGUUCCACGUUGAUGUUUUUUGUCAAUCCAUUCUAUUCACUGUUGUUGCUCAAAUAUCAUUCGUUUCAGAUUAUCGUCCACUUUUUUGUGUCUCUCUCGAUGCGUUUGCUCCUGUUGAAUGUAUUUUUGUUGUAUUUCAAACUCUAAAUAAUGUGUUUUCCCAUAUUAUUAAGUGAAACUGUUAGAACAAGCUUACACUUAUGUUUUUGCCCUUAAAAUGCCAUUCAUUUCUUUCCAUUGCUUACCUGUUUCAGUUUUUCUUUUUUUUUUUUGGUUUCAUAUGUGCUUUAAAGGCUUAACCUGCAAUCUCUUGGCUUUCUUUCCUCCUGCUAAAAACCAUUUUAGUUUGCUAUGAGUCGAUUUCGAUUUAUUAUGUCAUUGACAAGUCUUUACCUUGUAGUACCAUGUUGAGCUUUUGCCCAUUUUCGUCUUCAUUUGUAUGUGCUUUAUUAAGAGAGGUAAUAAUAGCUUUAGCAAUCGCAUUCCCAUCUCUGUCUUGGAAUUGCUUUCGUGUUUUCAAAAGGUUCAAAGACGUUUGUUAACUUAGAGCAUGCGUUUUACUGGAAAUACCCUACGAUUACUCUUCAAAUAAUGACGUUUUCUAUCUAGAAUAUGGUAUAUUUAUUAUUCAAUAGUUAAAUAUGUUCUAUCAUUUUCCCUGAAUUUUCUCCAAAUGUGAGGCCAGUUAUCUUAUUUGAUGUCAAUUACUAAUCUUUUAGGACAAGUACUAAUUUAUUUAUCCCUUUUUGUGUGUCAUGUGAAUUCAUCCUUUGUUAUCUUCUUAAUGUUCAAGUAUAUUCGAUAAUGCCUAUAUUAUACACUAAAAAAGAAUGUGCCUUGCCAUGUCUAUACUAAGGCUCCUAUCUUGUUAAAAUUGGGCCAUGUGAUGAAAUAUUUGGUAGUUGGGUGUAGAACAAGAAGGCUUAAAUUCUCCAUGUUGGUUUGUUUUGCGCCACUUUGAAUAUUCUAUAUUUUUAAAACGUACGACCUACCUUAAGUGUGUGAUUAUUAUCGAUUGUUUAAGUUGACAUUUGUUUGUUUAAGUUGAAAUUUGGUAUACUAUUUUGCCCGUUUUAUUAUUUGUAGACACUUGUUAAUCCUUAUCUUUUCUUUAUUUUGCAUGAACCCAUCUUGAACGAAUCCGAUCGUACUCCCCAUUCCUUCGCAUUCAAUGUCCAUCGAGUUGAGCCUCAUUGAAGUCCAAAUUUGGACUGAUAUACACAAGAUAGCACCAGUAUACAAGAUGGUAUUCGCUGAUAUACAACGUGUAUACACUGAAAGUCGUAGCUGCAUACCAUCAUUCAGUGUACAAUGAAACAUGGGGAGUUAAUAUGCUGAUUUCUACGUUGAUAUACAGUAUAUACGUGGAAAUAUACACAAAAAACGCAAGGGUGAAAGGCUAUGAUAUACAGCUGGUAUACACUUCAGAAAAAAUGGACUGAAGUCCAUAAUUCCAAGCCUUUCUGGGCAGCUAUAUUAUGGGCCAAUUAAGGGCCCAAUUUCAUUUUUUGUAUUAUUUUGUAAUUUUUUUUGUAGCUUAUAAUUCAUCUUUGUUUAUGUGCGCUAACUUUAAAUUAAUUAAUCUACACAAAUUUCCUAA